AAUGUAGAGGCGCGAUGAUUAUCAGUAAGCUUUUGGAUUUUUACAAGAAAAGUUGAAAAUCGCUGAAAGGAAUCAUCGCCGAAGGUAAUAAUAGCUUGUACUAUUUUUUCCUGGUUGUAUCGUUAAUAGCUAUACAACUGUCAUUCUUUAUACUACAAUAAGGAAUGGAGAGCUACAU
rnacentral:ncRNA from 1 species